AUGGACGCCGUCAGCGCGCCGAGACAGGGCCGAGAAAGGCAUCUCGUCUCUUCCUUCUUCUCCCCCCAUUUUUCAGACGGGGACGUUGAGGCCAAGGCGCAUGGAUCACAGAUGACUCGGAGGAUGCCUGGCCCCUCGCCGCUCUCACUUGAGGGCAACGUCACCCAGGCCUGGUCGGCCCAGUCUCCCCUCCUGGCUCGCGCAGGCGGGACGCGGAGCCACGUGCUCCGCGGCCAGCCCCGCCCCCACCCUGCUCCAUCCACACGGCUGGAGUCUGGAGUCGCUUACCCCGAUGUUCGUGGGCUUUGCCUCUGGUGUGGAUGGUUCCGCUUCGGCUCUGCUUUGGGUCCCCCUCUAAUUGCAAAUGUUGUAAGAUGUCCAUUGUGGAAAAGUGAGAACGUACAGACCGAGGAGAAGCAAAUGAAGACGCCGUAUCCCGUGCCUCCAGGGUAACGACAGUCCCGUUUCAGGGCUCUUCCCUCCCGUCGGAUGUGUACAGCUGUUUCUGUAGAAAUGAGAGUACGCCAGCAUUCUGUUGCAAAUCUCUUUGUAAUCGUGAUAAAUGGGCAACGUCUUUCCAUGCUCUCAAAUGCUUUGCUUCUACAACAAAUUAUGCCAUUUCCAUUUUUAUCAUGACACAAGGUUUUGUGAAAGAAUUGCCACCAUCAAUCCGUGAAGGUCACACACUCUUCAGCACAUGUCCCUCGAGCCCUGGUCCCUGGGGCAGCGCUUCCCGCGCCUCGGCAGGGCUCUCGGGUCCCACGCACCUGCAGAGCUGGGUUGGCGUUUGUUUAAAUGAUCCCUCACCUUGGACACUGGGGUAGGCGCAUGGCUUCGGCUUGAAGCCCACGGGCAUCCAGUGUGACCAGGGAAAGCUCCAGGUACCAGAGGCCGAUCCGUUUCUCCCAGAAAAUGUCACCAGUACGUCGUUCUGAGCGACAGCCUCAACAACAGGCUGGCAGCAAACUCAGGAACGCGUCCCACCCGUCUGCUCCCUGGGGAGGUCCUGCUUGUGUCCAUUUUUCAAAUGAAUACAAGUCAUACACAUUCUGUACAGAAACGAAUUUAAAUACAAAUACGCAAACCUAAGAAAACUAA
rnacentral:lncRNA from 1 species